rnacentral:rRNA from 1 species
UACGUAGGGGGCGAGCGUUGUCCGGAUUUAUUGGGCGUAAAGAGCUCGUAGGCGGUUCGAUAAGUCGGACGUGAAAUCUCCACGCUCAACGUGGAGGGGCCGUUCGAUACUGUCGUGACUCGAGUCCGGUAGGGGAGUGUGGAAUUCCCGGUGUAGCGGUGAAAUGCGCAGAGAUCGGGAGGAACACCCGUGGCGAAGGCGGCUCUCUGGGACGGUACUGACGCUGAGACGCGAGAGCGUGGGGAGCGAACAGG